rnacentral:lncRNA from 1 species
CAAAGACUCCCCACCUCCUGGUGUUCACUUUUGUGUCAUCCCCUACCCUCGAGCGUAGGCUCAGUCUAAUAACUUGCCUUUUUUUUUCUUGAGACGAAGUUUUGCUGUUUCAUCCAGGCUGAUCUUGGCUCACUGCAACCUCUGCCCCCCUUAGGUUCAAGCGAUUUUCCUGCCUCAGCCUCCCAAGUGACUGGGAUUACAGGCGUCCACCACCAUGCCCAGCUAAUUUUUGUAUUUUUAGUAGAGACAGGGUUUCACCAUGUUAGCCACGCUGGCCUUGAACUCCUGACCUCAGGUGAUCCACUCACCUCGGCCUCCCGAAGUGCUGGGAUUACAGGUGUGAGCCACCACGACUGGCCAUAACUUGCUUUUUAAUUUUUUUUUUUUUUUAAAGAGAUGGGCGGGGGUAUCACUAUGUUGACCAGGCUGGUCUUGAACUCCUGGCCUCAAGUGACCCUCCCAUCUCAGCCUCCCAAAGGGCUAGGAUUAUAAGCAUGAGCCACUGUGCCUGGCCCUAACUUGUUUUUAACAAAGAGAGCACAGCAAAAAUCACUUCUGUGAUUAGGUUGCAAAAGACUGUGACUUCUGUUUUACUAGCAUUCUCUUCCUGACAGUCUCUCUUGCUCUCUGUAUUAGUCCAGUCUCUCACUGCUAUAAAGAAAUACCUGAGACGGGGUAAUUUAUAAAGAAAAGAGGCCUAAUUGGCUCAUGGUUCUGCACUGUUCUACAGGAAGCAUGAUGCUGGCAUGUGCUUGGCUUCUGGGGAAGCCUCCAGAAACUUACAAUCAUAGUGGAAGGUGAAGGGAGAGCAGGUACCUUACAUGGCAGAAGCGAAGAAGAGCGAACAAGGGGAGAUGCAGGUGCUACACACUUUUAAACAACCUCACGAGAACUCACUGUCACAAGAACAGCACCAAGGGGAUGGUGCCAAACCACUCAUGAGAAAUCUACCCUGAUGAUCCAGUCACCCCCCCACCAGGACCCACCUCCAACACGGGCAUUACCAUUCGACACAAGAUUUGGGCAGGGAUACAGAUCUAAACCAUAUCACUCCCCUACUUGUUCAUCUGAUGAAGCACACUGCCAUGUUGUGAGAUGCUCUAUGGAGAAGCUUCUGGACAUCAGCUUAUGAGGAACUGAGGCCUCAAUCUAAUAGCCUGAGAGGAACCAAAUCCAGCCAAUAACCACGAGUGAACUAGGAAGUGAAUCUCUGAGAUGACUGCAGCCUUGUGAGAAACACAGAAUCAGAGGACCCAGCUAAGCUGCACUGAUUCCUGACCCACAAAAACUUAAAUAAGAUAAUGUCUUCAUAUGUCACCCAGUUUGGGGUGCAGUGACACAAUCAUAGCUUACCGCAGCCUCAAACUCCUGGGCUCAAGUGAUCUUCCUGCCUCAGCCUCCUGAGCAGAUCAAGAUAUAAACAGGUAAAAAUUGAUAAAUCUUAACUCUUAUUCUUAUCUGUAUCUUUCCCUAUCAGUAAUCCCUUCUAGUUUCCGCUGUAUCCUUCCAGUGUUUAUGCAAACACUAGACAAGCAAGCAUAAACAUACACACUCUCUCUCUUAAUUUCUACAUUUUAAUAUAAGAAGUCUGUGCUUACUUUUUUUUCUGAGACAGAGUUUUGUUCUUGUUGCCCAGGCUGGAGUGUAUUGGCGCGAUCUUGGCUCACCACAACCUCCACCUCUUGGGUUCAAGCAAUUCUCCUGCCUCAGCCUCCCGAGUAGCUAGGAUUACAGGCAUGUGCCACCACGCCCGGCUAAUUUUGUAUUUUUAGUAAAGAUGGGGUUUCUCCAUGUUGGUCAGGCUGGUCUUGAACUCCUGACCUCAGAUGAUCCACUGGCCUCGGCCUCCCAAAGUGUUGGGAUUACAGAUGUGAGCCACCGUGCCCAGCCUUUUUCUUUUUUGAGACAGAAUCUUGCUCUGUCGCCCAGGCUGGAGUGCAGUGGCAUGAUCCUG